rnacentral:lncRNA from 1 species
UCUUCUCUUUACAAAUUACCCUGUGUCAGGUCUUUCUUUAAAGCAAUGCAAAAUGGGCAAAUAGAGAUAGAGGCCUGAUGUGGUGGCUCACACCUGUAAUACCAGCACUUUGGGAGGUCAAGGAAGGAGAAUUGAUUGAGGCCCAGAGUUCAAGACCAGCCUGGGCAACUGAGUGAGAUCUUGUCUCUACAAGAAAACUGAAAAAAUUAGCCAGGCACAGUGGCUCUCACCUGUGGUCCCAGCUACUCAGGAGGCUGAGGCAGGAGGAUCACUUGAACCUAGGAACUCAAGGCUGCAGUGACCUAGUAUUGUGUCACUGCACUCCAGUCUGGGUGACAAAGCAAGACCUCAUCUCUUAAAAUACAUAGAUAGAUAGAUAGAUAGAUAG